GCAUUGAUGGUGUAGCGGUAACAUGCGGUCUUCCCAUAGAGUUGGUGUUUGGCCGCGCUCCGAGUUCGACUCUCGGUCAAUGCA